UACAGAGGGUGCAAGCGUUAAUCGGAAUUACUGGGCGUAAAGCGCACGUAGGUGGCUUGAUAAGUUGGGUGUGAAAUCCCCGGGCUUAACCUGGGAAUUGCAUUCAAGACUGUCUUGCUAGAGUGUGGAAGAGGGAAGCGGAAUUCCAGGUGUAGCGGUGAAAUGCGUAGAUAUCUGGAGGAACACCGGUGGCGAAGGCGGUCCUCUGGGCCUGUACUGACGCUGAGGAGCGAAAGCGUGGGGAGCGAACAGG
rnacentral:rRNA from 1 species